UUUUUCAACCCCAAACUAUUUAAAAUAGCAAUUCUAGCCCUUGGUUCAUGAAGCAUGGUGGACCACAAGCCACCAACACCUUUGUCUGAUGCAACUUUCUAGCCAAACUUUUCCCUUUUUGCCUUCCACCAAUCAUGAGUGAUCAACCUAGGGUUUUGUGCUCCUAUAUAUUGAACAUUUAUCAGACUUAGCCUCUUGGUUCCACCCUUGAGCUCCCCCUGCAAGAUCACCAAGAAAACACAGAGGUGAAGGAGGUUAUAGCUAGCUAAAAAAGGAGGUGGAAACCAAGCUAGAAUAAGAGAAAGCUACAAAGGUAUAACCCAUGGACUCCCAAACUAUUUUCAAGACUCUGUGAAGUCUUUUGAUGUGUAGAAAAUGAGUUGAAAUGCUAGAUUUUGAAGUAUUUGAGCUAUUAAGUGAUCUAUAUCUUGUUUAAGAUGUGUUGUUGAUGUUUUGGAUGAGAUAGAAAUGUCUGAGAAGUUUUUGUAGAUGAAAAAGGAGGCAUCUGGUGCGUAGACAGUGUGCACCAGAAGACCUAACGGUCCCAGCCAACGGCUCAACAAGGGGACCGUUGGCUAGAGCCGGUGGCUAGGCUGUCCGAGGUGCGGACCUAGUUGAGCUCCGCCCCAAGUUCCAUUGAGUGUUCCAGUGCAGUGGUCGGACCCUUGUGGCUCGGUACCUCGGAGCCGUCUUGACGCACGUUUUGACUUUGAUUUCGCUAAGUUUGGAGAAGAUUUGAGCCUUUUAUGCUAGAAUUUGUAGUAGUAAUUGUCAUAGAAGUUGUUUUGAAGCAUGUACAGUGAGUAGGAAUGAAGAUUAUCAGACUUUGAGUAUUUAUAUGAUGAACUUGCUAUCUUUUGGUUAUUAAA